UACGAAGGGGGCUAGCGUUGUUCGGAAUUACUGGGCGUAAAGAGCUCGUAGGCGGUUCGGUAAGUCGGGUGUGAAACCUCCAGGCUCAACCUGGAGAGGCCACCUGAUACUGCUGUGACUCGAGUCCGGUAGGGGAGCGUGGAAUUCCUGGUGUAGCGGUGAAAUGCGCAGAUAUCAGGAGGAACACCAGCGGCGAAGGCGGCGCUCUGGGCCGGAACUGACGCUGAGGAGCGAAAGCGUGGGUAGCAAACAGG
rnacentral:rRNA from 1 species